rnacentral:rRNA from 1 species
AUGCGCAACAGAGACUGCAUUUCUUUGUCCCGUCGCAUCUACAGUAUCCCUUUGUCUGUGGCAAUCUGUUAUCAUAUCAUUAUUCUGAACUUGUCUGUGUUAGUGACUGAGAAUGCUAUUUAUGAAUCCCAACUUUCUGAUGUGGCUGUAUGGCUUUGGCCUGUUUCUGCUGCGUUCAUAAACCGUGCUAUAUUGUCUUGGUUAAAUAACAGCGAUAAUUCUGUCGCUACUAUAAUGUUCCAAAUAUCGGCCAGUUAA